AGGUGAUGAAUUUACAUCAUCUGGGAGAGUUCGAGCGAUUCAGACCGGACACGGCGGACGCAGCAGGGGACUCCGAAAAUCCCGUGCCGCGGAGUGAGUCGCUUUCGCUCUCGAUGCAACUGAUACAUCAAAGUGAUACCUUUUUCCAUGUUCACGCUUCAGCUCGCCACUGUACUUGGACCUACUUCCUACCAGCUCUAUAAUUUCAGGAAUGCUACUAGCGAACAUUGCCUGCAACAGACCAUGGUGUCGAUCGUACAUCGAGUCUGCGCGCGGACACCAUCGUGUGGUGCACGACAAUAUCCACCUCGAGUCUCGGUAAAACUAUGGUGACGUAUAGUAAAUGUAGCUGAUAGCGGAGCGAAAAUAAAAUAAAAAGGAACGUGAGUGUCUACCGGUGAUGUGAGCAACUGAACACAGCCAGGCACAGGUGCGCAUGCAGAGAUCGCGAGGUGGGAGGGGAGGGACGCGCGCGGCGCGGGGCACACGGCGCGCGGCGAGGCGCCUCCACUCCGACUACUGCGAGCCGAGGCUCGUCUCGUACCAGUCCCCGGGAGGGUGACUCGUGAGUUGUGACCCCGAGUGCGCGUACGCGCGAGUACGGCACUUGUCCGACAUUAAGCUUGACAGUUGAGAGAUCCUCUGGCGGCACAUUGGUGGUAAUCACAUAACAAAGCAAAAGAAAAAGAAAACAUUCAUGCAAUUAAAAUCAUCGGUCGAAGUGAAGCUUUCUCGAUCGACGCUCCUUUAAAAGCGGGAAGUUAGAAGGUUGCACAUUUAUUGGCGACCACCGUCAGGACGGGCAGCUGCGGCCUCGUCUUACAGCCGAGUUAACUUGACAUGCUCUAGUGAGUGCACUAAUCAGGCUUACGGUCAUUCAACGAGCUGUGCGUUAAACCAAAGGGCUGAAUGCAAGGAAUCGCAAGCGUAGCACGGUACGAAAUAUAAACUUCGUUUUAUCCGAGAGGGCGAAAAAUAAACCAUCGGGAGACUUAGAGAACUUUUAACUUGCACCUCCUUGCAACUUUAAACUUAAAGAAUUUUCGUGAUUUUAAAUUUAAUUAUAAUAAAUAUUUUAGGAGUAGAAAAUAAUUUAAAGGGAAUGAAACUUACCAAGCCAACGAGGAGAAAAAAAACCAAAAAUGUUCUGCCAAGAACAGUGUGACAGAACACAUCACCGUAACCUACAGUGGACAUUGUGACUAUAAGAAAGUACACACAAGUCCAGUAAGACAAUGAUUGCGCAUUGUCAAACUCCAAUGGAUCGCCAGAGUUUUCCAACUGAAAUAAAAAAUAAUGUUUUCUCGCUUGUGUAAUUAUAUAGAUAAAUCAUU